rnacentral:rRNA from 1 species
GACGAACGCUGGCGGCGUGCCUAAUACAUGCAAGUCGAACGCAGUGGGGACGGGUGAGUAACACGUGGGUAACCUCCCAACAGAGGGGAUAACACUUGGAAACAGGUGCUAAACCGAUACUGAUGGAUGGACCCGCGGUUCAUUAGCGAAUUGGUGAGGUAACGGCUCACCAAGGCCACGAUGCAUAGCCGCCCUUCGAUGUGGAUCGGCCACACUGGGACUGAUCCACGGCCCAGCCUCCUACGGGAGGCAGCAGUAGGGAAUCUUCGGAAAUGGACGAAGGUCUGACCGAGCAACGCGGCGUGAGUUAAGAAGUUUUUCGGAUCGUAAAACUCUGUUUUUAGUGAAGCGGUAUCUAACCAGAAAGCCACGGCUAACUACGUGCCAGCAGCCGCGGUAAUAC